rnacentral:rRNA from 1 species
UACGGGGGGGGCAAGUGUUGUUCGGAAUUACUGGGCGUAAAGGGCUCGUAGGCGGCCAACUAAGUCAGACGUGAAAUCCCUCGGCUUAACCGGGGAACUGCGUCUGAUACUGGAUGGCUUGAGUUUGGGAGAGGGAUGCGGAAUUCCAGGUGUAGCGGUGAAAUGCGUAGAUAUCUGGAGGAACACCGGUGGCGAAGGCGGCAUCCUGGACCAACACUGACGCUGAGUGAGCGAAAGCCAGGGGAGCAAACGGGG